GUCCGGGAAUGUGUCACAUGCCGCGCUUGCAUAACGUUUUAAAGGGACAUAGCCGUAUUUGGCACAAUUUUUUGGAAUUUUGGAUCCCCAAUGCUCUUCAUCUUCGUACUUGUUUGGCUUGAUAAAUAUUUUGAUAUGAGCGUCACUGAUGAGUUUUAUGUAGACGAAACGCGCGUCUGGCGUACUAAAUUAUAAUCCGAUAACUAUAACUUAAAAAAAUACUGCAAUAAUGACGCUUCCCAAAUUUGAACUUCUUUGUAUUCUGAGUUUUGUGGUAAUAAGCAGUGUAUAGUUUCAUAACAUUUGAGGGCCCUCAUGGGGUUUUUGAUUAUAUGAUUACUUGGCCGUUUUUUUAAUGAUUAUUUGAUUAUUAAGCCAAAUAUUUCAUGAUUAUUUGAUUACCUAGGACUGUAUUUUUAGUUUAUGAUUAUUUGAUUACUAAAGAUAAGCAAAUAUUUAAUGAUUAUGUGAUUAUAUUGGCAAAAAAAUGGUGAUUAUGUGAUUACUAGGACCCCCCCCCCCCCAUGAGGGGCCUCACAUAGUUGAGACAAACUUGAGUGUGUGAACAGAAACGAAAAAUUCAGCAUUUUUUUCAUUUUUAUAGGGACACAACUCUAGAACAAUACAAGAGACGCCACCAAAAUUCCAACUUGAUCUGUGUUUUGUGGUAUUGAGCGUUGUGUAUGAAUUUAAUAAAAUUUGGUUGAGG
rnacentral:lncRNA from 1 species